rnacentral:rRNA from 1 species
GUCUACAGCCAUGCCACCCUGAAUGUGCCUGAUCUCGUCUGAUCUCUGAGACUAAGCAGGGUCAGGCCUGGUUAGUACUUGGAUGGGAGACCACCUAGGAAGACCAGGUGCUGUAGGCA